rnacentral:lncRNA from 1 species
GCCGGCCCCAGCCGACAACCAGGCGCACCCUGGCUGGGGAGCAGGAGAGCCAGGAAGGGUGCGAGGCGGGGAGAGGAGGCGGCGGCGGCUCCCCGGGAAGGGCGCGGGGAGGAAGGGCUGAGGCGGGAGCGGGCGGGGAGGCGGUGGGAUGAAGCCUCACCUAGAGAAGCAGCGGAGUGGAGAGUGGGUGAGCUGCCCCCGAGAGACGGCAGUGCUGCUAAAAAAAAAAAAAAAAAACCAAAAAAAAUCCCAAACAGCCAAACCGUGAAGCAGUCAGCAGCCCCGAAAAGCAGGCAGCCAUUUAAAACAGACCGACAGCUACCUUGGCCGGCGCGCUCGGGAGCGGGGAAGCCCCGCAGCAUCCACCUGCCGCGGGAGCGGGGCCGAGGCAGCCCCGGCCGCCCCCGCCGCCGCCCUGGCACGGCCGCCCUGGCACUGCCGCCCUGGCACUGCUGCCCUGGCACUGCUCCCGGCGGGGGGAACAAACCGUGCCCCUCUCCCGGCGCUGGCAGCGCCUUAACGCCGCCACGCUGUGCCUUUGAGCUCAAAUACUUCUGGAAGCCAUGAAUAAAUUUUCUCCAUCCAAAUAAGUUGCUGCCCAUCAUCUGACAAAAGAAUAACUCUACAGUUCUAAAGACAUGCUUGCAGGUUUUUCCCACUGCCAAGGAAUGGUGAUUCUACUAGAGCUUAUACACCCAAAUGUGAUGAAGUUUUGCUGUUAUUGGUGAACCUCUGCUGUCAAUUUUUUCUAUAACUAG